rnacentral:misc_RNA from 1 species
CAGAGUUUUCACAACUCCCAACCCUUGCGAACCGUACCCAUUCUGUUCUCGUUGCUUCCGGCGGGCCCUACGAACCUUUACAUCUCAACCACCAGAAACCGUCUGAGAAAACAAACAAAAUAAUCA